AGAACGAACGCUGGCGGCAGGCCUAACACAUGCAAGUCGAACGCCCUAGCAAUAGGGAGUGGCAGACGGGUGAGUAACGCGUGGGAACCUUCCCUAUAGUACGGAAUAUACCAGGGAAACUUGGAGCAAUACCGUAUACGCCCGAAAGGGAAGAUUUAUCGCUAUAGGAUGGGCCCGCGUAGGAUUAGCUAGUUGGUGAGGUAAUGGCUCACCAAGGCGACGACCCUUAGCUGGUCUGAGAGGAUGAUCAGCCACACUGGGACUGAGACACGGCCCAGACUCCUACGGGAGGCAGCAGUGGGGAAUAUUGGGCAAGUGGGCGCAAGCCUGACCCAGCCAUGCCGCGUGAGUGACGACGGCCUUAGGGUUGUAAAGCUCUUUUGGCGGGACGAUAAUGACGGUACCGCAGAAUAAGCCCGGCUAACUCGCGCCAGCAGCCGC
rnacentral:rRNA from 1 species